GUGGGGAAUAUUGGACAAUGGGCGAAAGCCUGAUCCAGCCAUGCCGCGUGUGUGAAGAAGGUCUUCGGAUUGUAAAGCACUUUAAGUUGGGAGGAAGGGCAUUAACCUAAUACGUUAGUGUUUUGAUGUUACCGACAGAAUAAGCACCGGCUAACUCUGUGCCAGCAGCCGCGGUAAUACAGAGGGUGCAAGCGUUAAUCGGAAUUACUGGGCGUAAAGCGCGCGUAGGUGGUUCGUUAAGUUGGAUGUGAAAUCCCCGGGCUCAACCUGGGAACUGCAUCCAAAACUGGCGAGCUAGAGUAGGGCAGAGGGUGGUGGAAUUUCCUGUGUAGCGGUGAAAUGCGUAGAUAUAGGAAGGAACACCAGUGGCGAAGGCGACCACCUGGGCUCAUACUGACACUGAGGUGCGAAAGCGUGGGGAGCAAACAGGAUUAGAAACCCCAGUAGUCC
rnacentral:rRNA from 1 species